GUUCGGAUUGUAGUCUGCAACCCGACUACAUGAAGCUGGAAUCGCUAGUAAUCGCGGAUCAUAAUGCCGCGGUGAAUACGUUCCCGGGUCUUGUACACACCGCCCGUCACACCAUGGGAGUCGGAAAUGCCCGAAGUCUGUGACCCAACCUUAGGGAGGGAGCAGCCGAAGGCAGGUCGGAUGACUGGGGUGAAGUCGUAACAAGGUAUC
rnacentral:rRNA from 1 species